rnacentral:lncRNA from 1 species
ACUUUUUCUUCCUAAUCAUCCAUUAAAUCCUCUAUACUAUCCAUUCAUUAAUUUAUUGGCUUUUCUUAAUCCUACAUAUGAUGUAUUGUAAGACAAAAAGAUCCUAUUCAUUCUACAUAGUCCCACUCCUAAUUAUGCAAUAUCUUUGCAAACAAAGAAUUAGUAAAAACUUUUUCAACUAACUCUUAUAAAUUUUCUAUCACUUUGGGCUUACUAGAUUGAUCAAUUCCAACAU